UUUGGGGAAGAGAUAUCGGGCUAGGUCCGACAUAGUAAAACUGCGUUUAAUGUCAGGCCCAGCUCGCCAUUAAAAUUGACCCAACUUUUUUAACCCUAACUUUAAUUUUCACCACGAAAAUUUGUCACUUUACAAAAUUUUUGCCUCCCUCCGUCGCGCGAACAAGCUCCGUGUGAAAACCCAGCCCCAUUGCAUGUGAUGGGGACGAUUUGGCGGCCCUUGCGUGCGAUGGGGACGAUCUGGCGGCCGGAGCGACGAAGAACUCUGAAAGCAACCUCCAUCUCUUCCAGCGACGGGGGAUUGAAGCCCUAGAUUCGUCCUCCUUCUUCGCUGAUAGACAUUGGUUCAAGGUUGACAGUUAUGUAAGUUGGGGUGGACCGAACUUUUCAUUGAGUGAUCUCAAGUAACUAGCUUUGUUCAAGAUACUUAAUUAGCUCGAAAAAUAUCAGCCCAUAAUUCAUGGGAGAUGCCAUCCUUCAAGGCCAUAUCUGCAAAUUUCAUGAGUCAACAAAGCUCAGGAACAUGCCCAUCUUCUGGAUAGGGGUAAAGCUAGGGCACCACGUGGCCGAACGCAUGUCCAAGGCCUCGACUCAGACAUCUCGAGGACGUGAGUGUGAGAUCAACUCGAGCCUGACCUUAGAAUGCGGAUAAUGGUUGUAGAUGAUCCUUUGAUCUCUAACAGGAGAUUCACUAAUUGACAAUUACAAAAUACCGAAAUGGCAAAGCAAUGCUUCCCAAAGCUACCCUAUAAAAGUUGGAGUUCAUUCCCUUACAAAGUUCUGUUUGCAUAGGUCGUCAAUUUGCCAGAUCAAUGAUUUAUCUUGGCUCACGUGUUAGCGUGGACCUCGCCAGAACCGUGCAUGAACAAUUGCAUGAAGAAAUAGGUUACAUAGAAACUUUGAUUUGUAUAAUAUGUGUUUAGUUUGUGGGGCUGUAAUUGGUAUAAUGGGGGUGUUUUAUAAGUUUGAGCUUAUGUAAGAUGGGUUUAUGUAAU